AAGAAUUAUCAUCUGAUAGAAAAGGCAUUAUUAAUACUAUAGAAAAUAGUUUUAUCGCCCCAAUACAAUACUUUUCAAAAUUGGACCAACCAAGUUGAGCUGGUUCGUUGAAUCAUUUCUGGAAUAUAAUAAUUUGCCAUUCUGUUUGCCCUAUCUUCUGCAACGUCGUCAAUCGCGCAACACUCCACCAUCUCGUCUCCCAAGGCAGAAGAAGAACCCCAUGGCGAUUUACGUCGCGUCACGGCGGCUUUCCGCCAGAACAACCGCGGCGACGCUGCGUUACGCCACUGCUCUGAGAUCUUAUUCGACGUCGUUUAGGGAGGAGAGGGACACCUUCGGGCCGAUCCAAGUUCCUUCCGAUAAGUUGUGGGGAGCCCAGACGCAGAGAUCGCUGCAGAACUUCGAGAUCGGCGGCGAGCGCGAGCGUAUGCCCGAGCCAAUCGUCCGCGCUUUUGGCGUCUUGAAGAAGUGCGCUGCCAAGGUAAACAUGGAGUAUGGACUUGAUCCAACGAUUGGGAAAGCGAUUAUGCAAGCUGCUCAGGAAGUUGCUGAGGGAAAGCUCAAUGAUCAUUUCCCCCUUGUUGUUUGGCAAACUGGUAGUGGCACUCAGAGUAACAUGAAUGCUAAUGAGGUCAUUGCUAACAGAGCAGCUGAGAUUCUUGGUCGCAAACGUGGUGAAAAAUGUGUCCACCCUAAUGACCAUGUCAACAGAUCUCAAUCCUCUAACGACACUUUCCCUACUGUCAUGCACAUUGCAGCUGCAACCGAGAUUAAUUCAAGGCUCAUCCCUAGUCUGAAAACUUUGCAUACCACUCUCGACUCUAAGUCCUUCGAGUUUAAAGAUAUUGUGAAAAUUGGAAGAACUCACACUCAAGAUGCUACUCCUUUGACGCUAGGACAAGAAUUUGGUGGCUAUGCUACUCAGGUUAAGUAUGGACUUAAUCGAGUCACAUGCACUCUACCCCGCAUCUAUCAGCUUGCACAAGGUGGAACUGCGGUUGGGACAGGAUUAAACACCAAGAAAGGGUUUGAUGUAAAGAUAGCUGCUGCAGUAGCCGAAGAAACAAACCUGCCGUUUGUCACUGCAGAAAACAAGUUUGAAGCUCUGGCUGCACAUGAUGCUUGUGUUGAAACCAGUGGGUCACUUAACACAAUCGCCACAUCGUUGAUGAAGAUUGCCAAUGAUAUACGUUUUCUUGGAAGUGGUCCAAGAUGUGGUCUUGGUGAACUUGUUCUGCCUGAAAAUGAGCCAGGAAGCAGCAUCAUGCCUGGCAAGGUAAAUCCUACACAGUGUGAGGCCUUGACUAUGGUUUGUGCUCAGGUAAUGGGCAACCAUGUAGCUGUGACAGUUGGUGGGUCAAAUGGUCAUUUCGAACUGAAUGUAUUUAAGCCGGUGAUUGCAAGCGCUCUCUUGCAUUCCGUGAGGUUAAUAGCAGAUGCUUCAGCUUCGUUUGAGAAAAACUGUGUAAGGGGUAUUGAGGCCAACAGAGAAAGGAUCUCAAAGCUAUUGCACGAGGUAUAUAGGUCUUCUUCUCAUUACUUUUCUGGUCUCAAAAGUAUUCACCAAUAUGAAAUAAUGAUUUUUUUUUUCUGGAUCUGUAGUCUCUUAUGCUUGUGACAUCAUUGAAUCCGAAAAUCGGAUAUGACAAUGCUGCAGCAGUUGCCAAGAAAGCUCACAAAGAAGGAUCGACACUGAAGGAAGCAGCUCUGAAGUUAGGUGUACUUACUUCUGAAGAGUUUGAUACCCUUGUUGUUCCCGAGAAGAUGAUCGGGCCCUCCGAUUGAUGUUGAGCCAAAAGCUUCAUUUUACCAUGUUUUAUUCUUGAUAAAGAGGUUGUUGUAUUGACAAAUAAGCAAAUCCCCAAACUCAAAUUUUGCAUUGGAAGGAUUCAAUUCUUUAUGUAUCACACAGUUAAUUUUAUGUUGAAAAAAAGAGCAACUAUUCAUGUUUA